CAGGUGUGUUCUAUGAGUGGCCUCUUGCCCAGCAGCAGGAACAGCCCGUCUCUCCCUCCGCGUGGGCUUCAGAAGCACCACGCUUUGAUCACACCCACAUCAGCCCCACCUGGAGCAGGGACAGCUUAGAAAUAACCAAGGGAAAGAGAAGACACGUGAACGGACACUGACUACCACGCACAACAAGAGCCCUGCAGGUCAACUCACGGCCUCUUCAGAAUGAAAAAGAAAGGAGAAAAGAAGACCUCAAGACAAGAAAAACAGAAAAAAAAAAAAAAAAAGGAAAGGAAAAAAAAUCCCAAAGGAUCUUGUUACAAAGACGGGAAAAGAACCAUCAUUAUGGUACACUCUGACUUUCUGAGACAGCUGCAGAAACUCGGCUCAGGCUUCCUCCUCCCUUUUUCCCCCCCAGCUCUUCCUCCCGAGGACAGAGUCCCGCUGCUGCUCACAUCUCGUUGGAGUAGGUGUAGUUGGGGGUGGCCGAGUACUGCGUCUCGUGCUGCAUCAUGGCGCCCUGCGCCGCCCCCAUGGCCGCGUUCUGGGCCGCCUGCUGCACGUGGGGAUUCUUCCAGGCCCCCGUGGUCCACUCCUCCUGCGCUUUGCUGAAGCUCCCGCCGCUGCCCCGGUAAAACUUGUGCACCUGCAGGGAAAAUCCAGAGGGGCUGAGCGCCUGCGGCCGGCGCGGACCUCCCGGGGUGGCAGGAGGACCACCCAAAGCCAUGUGGAAAACCCCUGUUUUUCCUGCCAUACCAUAGUGAGAGCAAUGAAGGAGAAGACCGCCAUGGCUGUGAAGAGCACAGUGGGGAUCAGCAUCACCACAGCUGAGCCCACGUUGGUCCCAAAGAAGGAAAUCGCUGCGAUCCAGCCACUGCAAGGAGAUUGAAACAACCGGUUAAUUCACCGGCUCUCUCAAACUGCCAGCAGCCCUCCCAGCUCCUCAAAACAUCUUCCCCAAGGAGAGAACCAGUAAGGACACUAAACCACCACGGUGACCACCCUUGUACCCAGCACAGCAGCAUUUUCCUUACCAGACCCCCCAUCCAGGGAUCCCCACUGCCUGGAUAAUGCUGAUCACCAGCUGGGCCAUGAAGGUGAAGAAGAAGGCCAUGAAGCUGAAGGAACUGUCUGUCCUGCAAGAGAAGGUUCAGUCACUCCUGCACCUCCAUCCCCACUGCACUCCAAGGGAAGGGAGAUGCUCCGACGUAUCAGACCUGGCCAUGGUUUAGCAGGAGGGUGAUGGAAAGAAAAAUUAAAGGCAAAGGAGAAACUGCAAGAGGCUGGAGGUGGUCAAGGGAUACCUGGGAAAGCCACGGGGCACCAGACCCUCCCUAUGGCUCAGUCAGCUGGGCUUGAGGACAUCUGUGUUGGGACACGGCUCUCAGCUCACACCACCCCACAUGGGGAAUAAAUACACCCCCAGUUCUCUAGGUUUGGGGACUGACCUCAGCACCCUGGGUAAUCUGUACAAACACCUCGAGGAUUUGUGGGAAAAUAUGAGAUAUGCCUCAGGGAUGAGAGGGAAAGUGGCACCCCAGCUGCAUCCUCACCACUGUCCCCCACCACUGCACAGAGGCACAAGGAAAGUGUCCUUACAUGGCCUGAUGGGGGGUUUGGCCCCCAGGAAAUCCCAAACACUCUGGUUUUGAAGGUUAGAAAGUAAAGCUAAAGGGCUGCACAGAAAGGAAUUCCCCCAAUUAGUCAGGCAAUGCCCCAAGCUAAACACUGACCGUUUACGAAGGAAAACAAGGCAGAAAGAAGCCAGGCUCAGGUGCGACCACUUACUUGAAAGCUUUGUAAAUAGGUCUAAACCAGCAGACAUAGGAGCAGGGCGUAAAGAGAAUGAGCCAGAGAAUUGCCAGUCCAAAAUUUACAGCUCCGCCGCCUCCAAUGAGCCACGCGAGGCAGCCCACGAGAUUCACCGCCAAGGUGAUGCUGUUCACUGCAAACACACACACACACACAGAGCAGAGUAGCACGGAUGCAAGGGUGGCACUGAGACACCAAGGACCCCGACCCUAGGGAUGUGGCCUCAGAGUCCUGUCCUAGCUGAACUUCCCUUAAAUUAAGCUGGAAGCACACUCCCAGGCUGGCUGGGCCAAAAGGGGUCAGGCCUCAGCUGAGUGUAACAGGAGGAAAAUCAAUGUAUCACUCAGAGUUGUAAUUCCCUAAGGAGUUCCUGGGCUCUUGAGAUUGGCAGGAGUUGCAUCCUCCUGCUCCUAUCCAGCCAGGACACAUUUCCACUAUGAGAAGGAAACUGGAGGAACUGUGAAGUUUUUUGCUUGCUCCAGAUACAUCUUUGCUGAAGGAGCUUGUGCAGGAGUUCCCCAAGCACCACUGAGAGCCAAAAUCCCGAACUCCUGACCCCGCCUUGCCGGUUCAGGGGGUGACACAUUUCCCUCGCCCACCCCUCCUUGAGAUCAGGCCACACAAGGGCUCCGACUAUGAGUCCCAGCUCAGCAGACACAGGACAAAGCAGAGAAGGCUCAGCUGCAUUCUGACGCCUCCGAGUUCGGAGAAUGAUUCAUUAUUUCGACGAGAGCGAAAGCCCUCCCACCACCGCCUGCCUGAGAGCUGCAGCUGGCAAGGCAAGGAGCUCAGCUGCCCUAAAGGACAUGAAGGGAUCUUCCAGCCACUCUGUGCUGGGUGUCUGAGGGGCUGCUGGGGAGAAAAUGACGCAGAGAGGAUCUCCAGAGGCAAAACCCAAGGGACAGUGACUGGGUCUAAGAGCUGGUGCUGAGGAGCAAGGACCAAGCUCUGCUACAUUAAGAGGAAGAACAUCCUGGUUGGGAUGGGAAAGGAAUUGAACACCCCCAAGAGAGCUUCCACAGGGAAGCACAGCUUUUUUCCUCCCAUGCCUUAAAGAAGUGAAGCCUCCUGACAUGAUGAAGCCACCCCAGGGUCAACCUCCUGACAGGACACAGCUCCAGGGAUGCCAGCCUGGUGCCAUGGCAAAAGCAGGAACACACAACCUCUGUGGUUUUAGCUCAGCUCUUCCUAACAUGCCCCUAUAAAGUACAGGGCGCUCCCUGGGCUGGUGCUUCCAAAGUUCAGGGGAAGUGCCUGAUAAGGGAACUGAGUUAUUCUAGAAGGAAAUGCAAUGCUGGUGCCAACUUGCCCUGAGCUGUGCACAUUUCCACCUAUGUUGGGGUGUGACCUGUCCCUCUGUCUUUGUUCCCUGCCUAUGUUUGGUGAAGAGGAGAGAUCCAGGAUAGUUGGAAGGGCUGGAAGCUGGUGACAGCUCUGUUAGCACAGCACGGCACACAGAGGCAUGCAAGAGGAACAGGCAAGCUCCAGGAAGCCUCAAUCUCUGCGUUUUGGGGAGCAGGCACACCAGGACUCCAGUCUGAGCCGUCUCCUCCUUACAGCAGGAUGUCAACAGCACCACCAAUGAUCCUGGGACACUGAGCCAGCUCCACAGCUCCAUCCUGGAGGCUGGAAGGGCUGGGAUCCAUGGGAUGCUGCAGCCCACCUCUCAUUCCUGAGUUUUAACAGGAGACACCAAGCCUGGAGGGGGAGAAGGGCUUCCCCUGACCUUGCCCUGCCCUUUCAGCUGGCAGCUCCCAGAGGAGCAGCCUUUGGAGAGGCAAACAGAUCCCACUGGAGCCAUUCCCACGCGGCCACUCACGCAUCCAGAGGUAGUAAAGCCGCUUGGCCAUGGUCCGGUGCUGCGGCGGGAUCUCGGCAUCGAAGUCCUGGUAGAAACAUGGCUUCAGGGGGAUGAACUUGGGCAGGGGAGGGAAGUUGUUCACCUUUUCUGCAAGGAAGAGUUUCACUGGUGUCAGGAACUGCCCAGAGCUGAACAAAAACCAAGAGGCUUCCUAAAUAACCCCAAGAACAGUCAAAUUUUACACAGGAGUUAAGGAUUUCCUAUGGAAACUGCCACCAACCCACCCCAAAGGAUCAAAUUCAGCCUUCACUGGCCACACAGAUCCUGCAGCCCUGGACACUCACCACCCCACUGGUGACUAACAAGGUGACAUGAUGGCCACAAUGAUUUCCUGAGCCCCCCAUACCUGCCAUGCUGGCACACGCUCAGCCUCUCUGCUCCUCAGGAAAAAUACUUGGGAAAAACGUGGGAGCUUUAGCAAAGCUGGAGGAGAACGAGAGAAAAAAAAAGGUUGAUUGAAGUGGUCAGGGACAUCUGCAAAAGCCUUCACCUUCCCCCCCUUCCCAAACAAUUCAAGGACAGCAGUUGGCUUCACUUCUGUGACACUCUGGACUAUCACACAUUCAGGCUGGCACCUGGCUGGCAGUGUGAUAAAUCCCGGCUCCUCUGGCUCAGGCUUAUGUGCCAGUUAAGGCAGAAGAUUACGAGAGGAUCCAGAGAUGUGGGGCCUCCCACUCCCAACUGACCUACAUCCAGGAGAGGGCCAGGUAGGGCAGCAGGGAAGGGAGGUGGCUGUGGGCAGUUUGAAACCUUAAAGUUCAUGACCUGGCCCCAAAAUAAUUCUUUAAAAAAAUGUAUUAUUGUUGUUUUUUGCUGAAUUCCAGCACAGGGGACUACCUGGCUGCCUCAUAGCUGCUGUCUCUGCAAGCCCAAGCCAAAAACAAGGCCAAAAAGGGAGCAGAAAAAUCAGAGCAGAGAAAUCAGCUGGAAAAAAAAAUAAAUCAGUGGCGAUUGCCACUAAUGAGUCA